AUGCUUAACACAUGCAAGUCGAACGGUAACAGAUAAGAUGAUCUCUUCGGAGUGAAUCUUUGCUGACGAGUGGCGGACGGGUGAGUAAUGCUUGGGAAUCUGCCCAAUAGUGGGGGAAAACUCGGGGAAACCCGGGCUAAUACCGCAUAAUCUCUACGGAGGAAAGAGGGCCUCUACAUGUAAGCUCUCGCUAAUGGAUGAGCCCAAGUCAGAUUAGCUUGUUGGUAAGGUAAUGGCUUACCAAGGCUACGAUCUGUAGCUGGUCUGAGAGGACGACCAGCCUCACUGGGACUGAGACACGGCCCAGACUCCUACGGGAGGCAGCAGUGGGGAAUAUUGCACAAUGGGCGCAAGCCUGAUGCAGCAAUGCCGCGUGUGUGAAGAAGGCUCUAGGGUUGUAAAGCACUUUCAAUAGAGAAGAAAAGCUUGAAAUUAAUACUUUCAAGCCUUGACGUAACCUAUACAAGAAGCACCGGCUAAUUCCGUGCCAGCAGCCGCGGUAAUACGGGAGGUGCGAGCGUUAAUCGGAAUUACUGGGCGUAAAGCGAGCGUAGGCUGUUAAUUAAGUCGAAUGUGAAAUCCCCGGGCUCAACCUGGGAACUGCAUCCGAAACUAUUUAGCUAGAGUAUGGGAGAGGGAAGUAGAAUUUCCGGUGUAGCGGUGAAAUGCGUAGAUAUCGGAAGGAACACCAGUGG
rnacentral:rRNA from 1 species